rnacentral:tRNA from 1 species
GAAGGUGUAUUUGAUUGAUUAUAGUAGUUUUGUCUAUGGUCUUGAAAACCGGCGACCCGAAAGGGUUCCAGAGUUCGAAUCUCUGCGCUUCCGCCA